CUGAAGUCCAGAGAGGUUGAGUGACUUCCCCAAGGUCACACAGCCUGCCAGGAGCAGAGCGAGGAUCAGAAUCCAGGUCUGCCUGACUUUAGAGCCCAGAUUCUUGUUCACCAUGGCGCACCUCGGAGGCCCUAAUUCAAAGAGAGCCCAGAACGUUCCCUGCGUGGAGGACUGUUGGAGCCAGAGAGGCUUUGAAGAUUACCUCCUGGGAUCUGCUCCCGUGUCCGUGUAGACGAGGCCCACGGGUGAUGCCUGUGGCCGAGCUAGGACCACCACCAACCCUGCCUCAGCCCCAGCUCCCAGGAACCCACAGACGCAUCCCAUCUUUUUCCUCCAAGGCGGUUCCAGGCACCAGCCAGCUCAGAG